rnacentral:rRNA from 1 species
UACAGAGGGGGCUAGCGUUGUUCGGAAUUACUGGGCGUAAAGGGCUCGUAGGCGGCCAACUAAGUCAGACGUGAAAUCCCCAGGCUCAACCUGGGAACUGCGUCUGAUACUGAUUGGCUUGAAUCCGGGAGAGGGAUGCAGAAUUCCAGGUGUAGCGGUGAAAUGCGUAGAUAUUUGGAGGAAUACCGGUGGCGAAGGCGGCAUCCUGGACCGGCAUUGACGCUGAGGAGCGAAAGCCAGGGGAGCAAACGGG